CGGAAGGGAGUUUUCUGGUGGAUUUAUCACGGGCUCGUGGCUCGGGAACAACAAGUGCAGGGAAGGAGAUACACACAAGACGAAGAUUUUAGAGAAAAACGACUACACCUUGAUAUGUCUGAAUCCAUACAUAACAAAAUAAGGUUGUAGAAAAAUAUCAUGCGUCUACAAUAUCUCAUUCGAAAUCAAGGACCACUCUAUUGAAUUUUAUGUCAGCUGUGAUACCAACUCUGCUGAAUUUCUUGUCC